UUGUAAACCAAAGCCGGAUAUUCCUUAGAGCAA
rnacentral:tRNA from 1 species